GUACGUGGACAGACGAUCGCCGUCGCGGCCUUGGCCGAGGCGGAGGAAAGUCCGAACACCGCAGGACACGGUGAUGGGUAACGCCCAUCGGCCCUUGGUCGUGGGGCUAGGGAAAGUGCCACAGAAAACAGACCGCCGAUGGUCCCACCUGCCUCUGGCGGGUGUGCUGACACAGGCAAGGGUGAAAAGGUGCGGUAAGAGCGCACCGCCCGACUGGCGACAGUCGGGGCACGGUAAACCCCACCGCGUGCAAGCGCAAGCAGUCCCUGGUCCCGACGAAGUCGGGACGCCUGUGGUCCGCAGGCUCCCCCUCCGGGACAGGGACGGGUAGCGUGCUCGAGGCCGCCGGCAACGGCGGUCCCAGAUGAAUGAUCGUCGCCCGCCGCCUCCGUCGCGCGACCGAGGAAGCGGGAACAGAAUUCGGCUUACGUCCACACGCGACC
rnacentral:RNase_P_RNA from 1 species